rnacentral:rRNA from 1 species
GUGUCAGCAGCCGCGGUAAUACGUAGGGGGCGAGCGUUGUCCGGAUUUAUUGGGCGUAAAGAGCUCGUAGGCGGUUUGGUAAGUCGGGUGUGAAAUCUCCACGCUCAACGUGGAGGGGCCACUCGAUACUGCCAUGACUCGAGUCCGGUAGAGGAGUGUGGAAUUCCCGGUGUAGCGGUGAAAUGCGCAGAUAUCGGGAGGAACACCCGUAGCGAAGGCGGCACUCUGGGCCGGAACUGACGCUGAGGAGCGAAAGCGUGGGGAGCAAACAGGAUUAGAAACCCCCGUAGUCC